GUGGGGAAUAUUGGACAAUGGGCGAAAGCCUGAUCCAGCAAUGCCGCGUGAGUGAUGAAGGCCUUAGGGUUGUAAAGCUCUUUUACCAGGGAUGAUAAUGACAGUACCUGGAGAAUAAGCUCCGGCUAACUCCGUGCCAGCAGCCGCGGUAAUACGGAGGGAGCUAGCGUUGUUCGGAAUUACUGGGCGUAAAGCGCACGUAGGCGGUUACUCAAGUCAGAGGUGAAAGCCCGGGGCUCAACCCCGGAACUGCCUUUGAAACUAGGUAACUAGAAUCUUGGAGAGGUCAGUGGAAUUCCGAGUGUAGAGGUGAAAUUCGUAGAUAUUCGGAAGAACACCAGUGGCGAAGGCGACUGACUGGACAAGUAUUGACGCUGAGGUGCGAAAGCGUGGGGAGCAAACAGGAUUAGAAACCCCAGUAGUCC
rnacentral:rRNA from 1 species